rnacentral:rRNA from 1 species
AUUGAACGCUGGCGGCAGGCCUAACACAUGCAAGUCGAGCGGAUGAAGGGAGCUUGCUCCUGGAUUCAGCGGCGGACGGGUGAGUAAUGCCUAGGAAUCUGCCUGGUAGUGGGGGAUAACGUCCGGAAACGGGCGCUAAUACCGCAUACGUCCUGAGGGUGAAAGUGGGGGAUCUUCGGACCUCACGCUAUCAGAUGAGCCUAGGUCGGAUUAGCUAGUUGGUGGGGUAAAGGCCUACCCAGGCGACGAUCCGUAACUGGUCUGAGAGGAGGAUCAGUCACACUGGAACUGGGCCACGGUCCAGACUCCUACGGGAGGCAGCAGUGGGGAAUAUUGGACAGUGGGCGAAAACCUGAUCCAGCCAUGCCGCGUGUGUGAAGAAGGUCUUCGGAUUGUAAAGCACUUUAAGUUGGGAGGAAGGGCAGUAAGUUAAGACCUUGCUGUUUUGACGUUACCAACAGAAUAAGCACCGGCUAACUUCGUG